rnacentral:rRNA from 1 species
GACGAACGCUGGCGGCGUGCUUAACACAUGCAAGUCGAACGGUAAGGCCCUUCGGGGUACGCGAGUGGCGAACGGGUGAGUAACACGUGGGUGAUCUGCCCUGCACUUCGGGAUAAGCCUGGGAAACUGGGUCUAAUACCGGAUAGGACUCCGGACUGCAUGGUCUGGGGUGGAAAGCUUUUGCGGUGUGGGAUGGGCCCGCGGCCUAUCAGCUUGUUGGUGGGGUGAUGGCCUACCAAGGCGACGACGGGUAGCCGGCCUGAGCGGGUGACCGGCCACACUGGGACUGAGAUACGGCCCAGACUCCUACGGGAGGCAGCAGUGGGGAAUAUUGCACAAUGGGCGCAAGCCUGAUGCAGCGACGCCGCGUGAGGGAUGACGGCCUUCGGGUUGUAAACCUCUUUCAGCAUCGACGAAGCGAAAGUGACGGUAGGUGCAGAAGAAGGACCGGCCAACUACGUGCCAGCAGCCGCGGUAA